CUACGGGAUGCACCAGUGAGGAAUAUUGCACAAUGGGGGGAACCCUGAUGCAGCAACGCCGCGUGGAGGAUGACGCAUUUCGGUGUGUAAACUCCUUUUAUAUGUCAAGAAAAUGACGGUAGCAUAUGAAUAAGCACCGGCUAACUCCGUGCCAGCAGCCGCGGUAAUACGGAGGGUGCAAGCGUUACUCGGAAUCACUGGGCGUAAAGGACGCGUAGGCGGGCUUGUAAGUCAGGUGUGAAAUCCUACAGCUUAACUGUAGAACUGCACUUGAAACUACGAGCCUAGAGUAUGGGAGGGGGAGAUGGAAUUAGUGGUGUAGGGGUAAAAUCCGUAGAUAUCACUAGGAAUACCUAAAGCGAAGGCGAUCUCCUGGAACAUAACUGACGCUAAGGCGUGAAAGCGUGGGGAGCAAACAGGAUUAGAUACCCGCGUAGUC
rnacentral:rRNA from 1 species